GGAAUAUUGCACAAUGGGCGCAAGCCUGAUGCAGCCAUGCCGCGUGUAUGAAGAAGGCCUUCGGGUUGUAAAGUACUUUCAGCGGGGAGGAAGGCGGUGAGGUUAAUAACCUCAUCGAUUUACGUUACCCGCAGAAGAAGCACCGGCUAACUCCGUGCCAGCAGCCGCGGUAAUACGGAGGGUGCAAGCGUUAAUCGGAAUUACUGGGCGUAAAGCGCACGCAGGCGGUCUGUCAAGUCGGAUGUGAAAUCCCCGGGCUCAACCGGGGAACUGCAUUCGAAACUGGCAGGCUAGAGUCUUGUAGAGGGGGGUAGAAUUCCAGGUGUAGCGGUGAAAUGCGUAGAGAUCUGGAGGAAUACCGGUGGCGAAGGCGGCCCCCUGGACAAAGACUGACGCUCAGGUGCGAAAGCGUGGGGAGCAAACAGGA
rnacentral:misc_RNA from 1 species